rnacentral:lncRNA from 1 species
GUUCCCUGAAUUGGGGUUAUGCUUUUUGUAGUUUCAGACCAGACCACUUGAUCUUUGGUAUUGUGGCUUAAAACUGACUUGGCAAAGGAGAAGUACUCUGGCGAGAUCAAUAUCAUCUUCAUCCAGGCAUAGGCGGGGGUGAAGGGGUGAAAGAGGUACCUUUUCCGGGAACUGAUGGUUAGGACCGAUGCCUGUGCAUUUUCUGGCUGCACUUGAGCAUCACUAACACCCAAAUCACCGUCCUGCCCCUCUUCUUGCUCCUCCUCGCCCCUCCUCCUCGUCAUCACUGCGAUGGUUUGUUGAGUGUGUCCUUAUUCUAUGCCAGGCACUGUGCUAGGCACUUUACAAAUAUUUCUUUCAAACCUCCCAACACUCCUAUACGAGUAGGUGCGAUUAUCUGCAUUUUACAGAUAGGGGAUCUGAGAGGCUCAAAGGAGGUAAAUCACUUGACUAAAAUCUCACAGUCCAUAAUAAUCCAAGGACGCAGAGUUCACUUUGACGGAGCAUGUUCUGUACCAUGUGCCUGGCACGGGGCUGAAGGCUUUGCUUGGAUUGUCUGAUGUGACUGUACUCAGAUGAUAGGUAAGGAAAGAGUCACAGGGAUGGCAGGUGGUUUGCCCAAGGUCAUACAGCUGCUCGGAGAGAGAGCCGGAACUCGAAUCCAGGCAGCAGUGGCAGAAGGUGGGAGAAUUAGGAUUCAAACCUAAAUAUGCUUGAUGCUAAAGCUCAGGCUGCACUGUUGCCACUUACCAUCUCCAUGGACACUUGCAAGGGGGAGGCCACUGUGCUGGUCAACAGUCAUGUGACUUGGAAUCCUUAUAGUCACCCUAGUGGUUGCAACAGAAUUAUUAGCAGCUGCACUGGGCUUUGGCAAGUGACUAAGGCCAAUUUUAGACAAAACUAUAGGGAACUUGUGUGUCAAAAAAUGUGUGUGUGUGUGUGUGUGUGUGUGUGUGUGUGUGGUGCUUCUUCCUCCUGUGGACUCCAGCUAGGCAGUGUCUCCUACCCCAGGACUUUCUCUGAAUAGUUACUUCCAUGACCUUUGCCUCAGCCUGGCAACUGGCUGGAUACUCUUUGAGAAAAUACUUUGUGCCACAACCUUAACUCCAAGAAUAGAUCAAAGGGUUCUCUUGCCAGAAUAGCACACUUACCUUUUCUUUAGGUGCAGAUGUUCUCAGUGCUUUAAACAAAAUCAGUGACUAAGUGUAGAAUUUCAAGCCCUUGACCAGGAGCGGGAGUAUCUCGAGGUGUAUGUGCUUCUGUGAGUGGCAGUGAGGGGGUGGCUCAGAGAGGAUUUUCUGAGAAAAUAGGGAGGCUUUUGCCCCUCUUUAAAACGUCAAACAGACCCAUUACACCUACAUUAGGAUGCUGGGGCCUCGUCUUCCUCCCUAUUGGCUAACAGGAGGAUUCCGCAAGAGGUAGGCGUCUGGCGGAGAUAGUGCCCAAGGAAAGCGGGUCAGUAGGCUGAGAGGCUGGGGACAAAUCUCUACUCAAUUCCCCAGAUCAUGCCCUUUGCCAAGGUGCCCACACAUACCGUGUCUGUGUGUUCCAGUUUUGCAGAAUUGCCUUCCCUGGUUAAUACCCAGACCCCAGCCCCAGGGUCUGUAGAAAUACUCGCCUAUUGGCAUCCUGUUCCUUUUCCUCUCUUUCUCAAGCUGUUCAGCCUUCUCUAGUCCUGUUGGGAUUUGGGGCAUUAGCCGUUUUUGCUUAACCACCGCUGAAUGUCUGGCCGCUGUUUAAGCAGGCUCCUCUCCCUGGACACCUCUGAGUCAGUCCCCGUCUUUUAAAGGGGAAAGCCCCUGGGUGGGGCCCUCUUUCCGGCCUCCCUGCCCCUGGAAGAUGGGGUGGGGGUGGGGCGCAAUUCACGCAUUUGGGUGCGGGGCGGGCGCGCCUGGACCAUCCUGGCUCCCCGCGAUGUCUCCGCGCCGGUGUUACCCUAUGGGGCUCUCCGCUGCUCCACCCAAGGUCAUUUAAACAGGUCAAAAGCUUAACUUGCUGCUGCGCUGGACGACGCAUUCAUUACCUACUAGCGGCCAGCCAGAGAAAACAGAAAACUGGGACAGCGGAGGUGGGCUGGGGGUGGCGGCGCGGCGUCAGCCGUGGAGCAGCGCACCUGGUGUGAGGACCACAUCCUGGCCGCCUUCCCUGGCGUUUCAGGUCGCGGAGAGGUGCUCUUUUGUUUGGGGUCCAACAGAAAGGUUUUUUUUUGCUUUUGAGACAUUUUGAGAUUAUGCAGAUUUGUUAAUUUUGUUCUUUCCUACUUGAAAAAAAAAAAAAAAAAAAAGGCAGCUUACCUUUGCAGUAAGAAUUUCCCCCACCUCUCUUUUAGAGAAAGUACUUGAUGGCAGGCACUGCCGUCCUAUAUUAAUAGACCAAUAAUUACUACAUUUCAUACCAUGUAGAUUUCCCUCUGAAACCUCAAUCACAUAGGGAUACUGUGGUGGGGGUUUAAAUGCAGCAGCUAAUGUGCUGUUCCAGCAGGCAUUUCUCCACCUCUAAUCUUUUUUAUUGAACCUUUAAGUGGAACUUGUGCUCCUCUGGGUGGGAGCAGGGCUUUGAGAUUGUGUUCCUUGGUUUAGUCUGGUUCUUUAGUGGGAGAUUCUAAGAGCCUGAAUUGUAUCAUGAGCUGCAUUUGUUGGUGUGGGUUUCAGAUGAAAGCAUGAAAUCUCACUGACUUGCUGAACAUUGUGGUUUUGAAUCAGGGCUUUGGAGAUGAAGCUGCUAUACCCAACCUAACUCUUAACAGAAAUCACAGGAUUAUUUGCAUAUUGACUUGGCUACAAAGUUUUAGCUCCACCCUGUUUCAGUGGCUACAGUGUCUUAUAAAUAGGAGUAUUUUCUGAUGUUUAAUCUAAAGCUCUCUUCGGUUUCCAAAAAUCUGUUGCUUCAGACAACCCAGGCACCUGUGCCAUGCUUGGGACAGUAUUACUUCAUGUACUUAAAGGCUGGAUAUUCCUCCAGACUAAAUAAAUCUGGUGUCACCGUCUAUUAAGAUGAAAAAAUAUCCUUUUGCUGACUGACAUUCAAAAUGGAAAUGCAAAAAGCUUGGACUUUUAUUUUUCAUUCUCUCUUUUUAACCCUUGUUAAGGUGUCAACACACAUUUCAGUAUGCAGCUGGUGAGGUUAUGUUUUUGAUUAAUGAUGGCCUUGCUUGGCAUCACGGUCUUGAAUUUACCAUUUACUGUGAGUGUGACUGACCUGGUCAUGCCCAGACCAAAGAAGGCCAUGUAGACUAUUGACCACAUCUGUUAACCAUCUUUCCCCUCCCUUAGAACCUCUCCCAGGAUGGAAGGCAAAGCAUUCUCUUUAAUAGCAAAUGGUGAAAAAUGUGUUCCUUGCUUUAAAAAAAAAAUGGUGAAAAUUAAGUCAAUUGGCAACAGGUGCUUAUCUCCCCAAUGGGCGGAGAAGGCGCCAGGUGAUACGAAUCUGUGCCUGCGUACUGGAGCAAGCUGGAAUUGUAACCAUACCACCCACACUGCCAGGUAAAGUCCAUUUAGUUCCAGCAGUUGGGUCAUUUGCCAAAUGUUUGAAUUACUGUCCAAGGUUUCACAGAUGGCAUUUCGACUGUGGAGACCCUUCUCUUACUCACAUAGAGAAAGCAAAGGAAAGGGGAGAUGAUGCAUUGAUCCUUGCGCAGGGCGCACACCUGGAGGACUGGCUGUUACGGGGUUUGUGGAAACAUGGCCUUUUCCUCUGUGACUGGAACAGGUGAUGACGUCGAAAGGAGGCUGGCGUCUUUGAAAUUUUAAGUAAGGGUUUUGUACUCGCAGUGUUAAAUGUGGCUCAAACAGCUUAUGGGCCCCUUUAGAAAUUUAAAUAUGGUAUAAGAGACCCUUAAUUACUUAUAGGGAAGGCAUCUCUUCAACUGCUAGUUGGAAUAUACGUAAACAGAUCAGACAUUGCACAAGUUUUUGAUCUUGAACACUGGUGUAAUUGAGUAUCCCACAUAGACUAUCAAGGUGAGGGGUCAUUCUUAUUGGAAUCCUCCUGACAUCUCUGAUGCAGAUGGCUUUAUCUGCCUAUCAUUAAAGAUGUUAGUCAUGAAGAAAGUUCUUAUCUUGAAGACUUUGAUAGUUGUAGCAAACCUUGUGAGCAGUGUUUUCUUCUGCUGUUUUGUCAAAUCAGAUUUCACUUGGAGCAAUAAUGCUCCAUCCUGCUCUCAGGAUAUCUCAAGGUACCUCUGAUUCUUUCAUUCAGUACUGAAAAUGUUUUCAUUCUCAAAACUUUCACAGAUCUUUCUGAUACAGUCACUUAAUAAGAAAAAAAAUCACCCUGGGCUCAAAACUUUGAUGGCUCCCCAUUGGCCUUUGAGUCUUGAAAUGGAAACGGGUCAUACAAGUCCAGUCUCCUGCUGGUUAUAGACAUUAUCUCCUCAAGAAUCUUGGGUUUCCUGCUGAUCAUUUCAGCCACAGGGACUUCACCGCUUCAUGAAGUAAUUGGUUGCAUUAUUGGCCAGUGCGAGGUAUUAAAAAGUCUGUUUUUGUAUUGAGGUAGAAUCAGUUCCUUGAAGCAGGUACCGAUUGGACACAGUUUUGUCCAUGAGAACAGCAACAACCAAAGCACCUGCUUUCUUUUGGACCCAGUGUUUGAAGUCACUCCUCUGAUGUGUUAUACGUCAUCAGUUCAACUUAGAGCCCUUUCACUCUUUCUGGGGCAUGGUCUGCAGGUGCACCUUAGCUGAUCAUUGCUCCUCUCAAAGUGCAGAGCCAGGUCAAGCCCAUCCUUGCCAUCUGAGUUUCCAAGAGCUAUUCUGCCAGCCUGUCUACUGUAUUCACUCACAUUUGUUUUCAGGACUUUGCAGUACAAAUACCCAGAUUCAGACUGUCUCUUCACUAUCCUUUAAAUAAAGCAAUGAUAACUCUUCUUUCUUUGGUCUGUCUGAAAGAAUCUGGAGAAGUACAAGUUAUAAUAAUACCUUAUAAUAAUAUUUCAGGAACUUACCAUAUGCGUAGUGCUGGUGCUCGGUGAAUGACUCAGUCUCUGCUGUCUUGGAGCUACUGUAAGCUUCCUAAAUGGACACUAAAAAAGUGAACAAAGAAAUUAGUGAUUGCAAAUUUCACUAAAUGCCGUGAAGCUAAGAGCCAUGGGGUGCUGGGCCAGAGA